rnacentral:rRNA from 1 species
GACGAACCGUGCGAACGUUGUUCGGAAUUACUGGGCGUAAAGGGCGCGUAGGCGGCCUGCUAAGUCAUACGUGAAAUCCCUCGGCUCAACCGGGGAACUGCGUGUGAUACUGGCGGGCUUGAAUUCGGGAGAGGGAUGCGGAAUUCCAGGUGUAGCGGUGAAAUGCGUAGAUAUCUGGAGGAACACCGGUGGCGAAGGCGGCAUCCUGGACCGAGAUUGACGCUGAUGCGCGAAAGCGUGGGGAGCAAACGGG